rnacentral:tRNA from 1 species
GCUCCCGUAGCACAGUUGGUUAGAGCGUCGUACUUAUAAUGCGAAGGUCGCGGGUUCGAUCCCCGCCGGGAGCA